rnacentral:rRNA from 1 species
UACAGAGGGUGCAAGCGUUGUUCGGAAUUAUUGGGCGUAAAGGGCGCGUAGGCGGUCAGGCAAGUCUGCUGUGAAAUCUUCGGGCUCAACUCGAAGAAUGCAGCGGAAACUGCCUGGCUUGAGUGUGGGAGAGGUGAGUGGAAUUGCCGGUGUAGCGGUGACAUGCGUAGAUAUCGGCAGGAACACCCGUGGCGAAAGCGGCUCACUAGACCACAACUGACGCUGAGGCGCGAAAGCUAGGGGAG